rnacentral:rRNA from 1 species
UACGAAGGGUGCAAGCGUUAAUCGGAAUUACUGGGCGUAAAGGGUGCGUAGGCGGUUCGUUAAGUCUGUCGUGAAAUCCCCGGGCUCAACCUGGGAAUGGCGAUGGAUACUGGCGAGCUAGAGUGUGUCAGAGGAUGGUGGAAUUCCCGGUGUAGCGGUGAAAUGCGUAGAGAUCGGGAGGAACAACAGUGGCGAAGGCGGCCAUCUGGGACAACACUGACGCUGAAGCACGAAAGCGUGGGGAGCAAACAGG